GUUGUAUUUGUCAUGGGGAAAGAGACACAGAUACAGAUAUGAUUUUUCACCAGAGCUGCUCUCAGUGUUUGAAAGCAAGCAAGGGAAAUGUAAGUAUUCGAGCCACAUAGAGGCCCUUAAUCUUCGAGGAAGAUAGUGGGCAGAACAAAAUUAAAAAGCAGUUUGAGGAUUCUUCUUGUUUUUAACAUUCCAGGCAGAUGAUCUAUUAUUUGGCUGCUCUAAGAACGCAAUAAGUUUCUGGGUAGACUGAUGUUAAUUGAAUCACAGUUCAAUUCUCUUUGUCCAGGGAAGCAAUCUGUCUAGAACAGUUGUGUAAGGAUUAUAGAUUGUGGCUUCAAGCUUUAAUUGUUUUAGUCCAGGCAUGAAAAUAGCUGCUCACUUGGCCCCAUGUGGCAAGUGAGAAUUUCCUCCUGGCAACUUGGCUGGGAAACUUUUUGCAAAAAGGAGGUGCUUCCUUCAGGCCAUUGAUGUGCCUCAAAUGAAUAUCGCCAUUUAUUCUGGACAGGGAGACUAAGAAAAAUAUAGAGAGACAGUAGCUUUUGUGGGCUAACAUGCAGAGCAGUUUUACUUGGUUUUACAGAUUUAGCUGAUUAAUUAAAGAGCUGGCCCUAACCAAUUACAUAGCUGGAAAUUCCAGCCAUAGUCGUUCAUUUCUUAGGCUAUUUUUAUUCUGGGGUGUUACUCUAAAAGUGCCCAUCAUCACAGGGCCAUAAAGUUGCUGCAGAGCAAGAAUGAGAGCCAAGGGCUACCCCACUUUAUAUGUUAUUAUCUGUGUUUUUAAUGAACAAGGUGGCGGCAGAGCCUUGAAAAGAGGCCCCACAAUUUCAGGUGCAUCUGCAAACGACUCUGUUUAGAAGCUAUUUUUGGCAUGCUAGCUGUAUAUCAAUUAACUAAUAAUAUUCAAUGGACAUUCAUCAGUUGAGAGGGUCAGUGCCAGAUUUAUGUAUAGGCUAAGUAGGCUGAAGCUUGGGGCCUCUGGAUCUAGGAGGCCUCCCCCGCCCCCCAGCGGGCAGUCUCCCCUCUCCCAAAAUUGCAAAGCCAAGACUUCAUGCGAAGAUAUUAAAUUUAAAUUAUGUUACAAUCUUAGAGAAAAUGUCAUUAAAAUGCAAUAUAGAUGGCACCUUACCCCGGCCAAAUUGGCCAAAUUGGAUAAGAACAGAUCAGAGAUGUGCUGGAGAUGUAAAAAGGGGGUGGGCUCAUAUAUGCACAUGUGGUGGGAAUGAGAGAAAAUAAGAGAGUUUUGGAAUAUUAUAUAUAAUGAAUUUUAAAAGAUGUUCAAAUUCCCAUUUACAAAAAAACCCAGAAGCCUUCCUUCUAGGAAUUAUGUCAAUAGAAAUUAAGGAAAAUGCUAGAUCACUCUUCAUGUAGGCAAGAGCAGCCGCCAGAAUAUUAGUGGCAAAGAACUGGGAAAGUGAGACUACCCCCACAAAGACUGAAUGGCAGGUACAAAGGAUAGAAUACAUACAAUUGGCAAAAAUGACAGGGAGAGUUAGAGGGCAUACGAUACAGAAGAUGAACAAAGAAUGGAUAGUAUUUAAAGAGUAUUUGAGAAACUAUUGUGAUAACAAAAAUCUCCUGGCAGAUCUAGAAUAAUUCUUGUAAGUUACUGGUGAUAAAAAAUAUUU
rnacentral:lncRNA from 1 species